CCUACGGGAGGCAGCAGUAGGGAAUAUUCGGCAAUGGGGGGAACCCUGACCGAGCAACGCCGCGUGAACGAAGAAGUUAUUCGUAAUGUAAAGUUCUUUUAACAGGGAAGAAAGAGAAAUUUGACGGUACCUGAACAAUAAGCUCCGGCUAACUACGUGCCAGCAGCCGCGGUAAUACGUAGGGAGCGAGCGUUAUCCGGAUUUAUUGGGCGUAAAGGGUGCGUAGAGGGCAUAGUAAGUCUUUGGUAAAAAGGCUGGGCUCAACCAAGUAGGGCUAAAGAUACUGCAAAGCUAGAGUAUGACAGAGGCAAGCGGAACUACAUGUGUAGCGGUGAAAUGCGUAGAUAUAAGGAAGAACACCAGUGGCGAAGGCGGCUUGCUGGGUCGAUACUGACAUUGAGGCACGAAAGCGUGGGGAGCAAACAGGAUUAGAUACCCUAGUAGUC
rnacentral:rRNA from 1 species